rnacentral:rRNA from 1 species
UAUUGCACAAUGGGGGGAAUCCUGAUGCAGCGACGCCGCGUGAGUGAAGAAGUAAUUCGUUAGGUAUAGCUCUAUCAGCAGGGAAGAAUAAAUGACGGUACCUGAUUAAGAAGCCCGGGCUAACUACGUGCCAGCAGCCGCGGUAAUACGCAGGGGGCAAGCGUUAUCCGGAUUUACUGGGUGUAAAGGGAGCGUAGACGGCAGCGCAAGUCUGGAGUGAAAUGCCGGGGCCCAACCCCGGAACUGCUUUGGAAACUGUGCAGCUCGAGUGCAGGAGAGGUAAGCGGAAUUCCUAGUGUAGCGGUGAAAUGCGUAGAUAUUAGGAGGAACACCAGUGGCGAAGGCGGCUUACUGGACUGUAACUGACGUUGAGGCUCGAAAGCGUGGGGAGCA